GACGAACGCUGGCGGCGUGCUUAACACAUGCAAGUCGAACGGAAAGGCCCUGCUUUUGUGGGGUGCUCGAGUGGCGAACGGGUGAGUAACACGUGAGUAACCUGCCCUUGACUUUGGGAUAACUUCAGGAAACUGGGGCUAAUACCGGAUAGGAGCUCCUGCUGCAUGGUGGGGGUUGGAAAGUUUCGGCGGUUGGGGAUGGACUCGCGGCUUAUCAGCUUGUUGGUGGGGUAGUGGCUUACCAAGGCUUUGACGGGUAGCCGGCCUGAGAGGGUGACCGGCCACAUUGGGACUGAGAUACGGCCCAGACUCCUACGGGAGGCAGCAGUGGGGAAUAUUGCACAAUGGGCGGAAGCCUGAUGCAGCAACGCCGCGUGCGGGAUGACGGCCUUCGGGUUGUAAACCGCUUUCGCCUGUGACGAAGCGUGAGUGACGGUAAUGGGUAAAGAAGCACCGGCUAACUACGUGCCAGCAGCCGCGGUGAUACGUAGGGUGCGAGCGUUGUCCGGAUUUAUUGGGCGUAAAGGGCUCGUAGGUGGUUGAUCGCGUCGGAAGUGUAAUCUUGGGGCUUAACCCUGAGCGUGCUUUCGAUACGGGUUGACUUGAGGAAGGUAGGGGAGAAUGGAAUCCCUGGUGGAGCGGUGGAAUGCGCAGAUAUCAGGAGGAACACCAGUGGCGAAGGCGGUUCUCUGGGCCUUUCCUGACGCUGAGGAGCGAAAGCGUGGGGAGCGAACAGGCUUAGAUACCCUGGUAGUCCACGCUGUAAACGGUGGGUACUAGGUGUGGGGUCCAUUCCACGGGUUCCGUGCCGUAGCUAACGCUUUAAGUACCCCGCCUGGGGAGUACGGCCGCAAGGCUAAAACUCAAAGGAAUUGACGGGGCCCCGCACAAGCGGCGGAGCAUGCGGAUUAAUUCGAUGCAACGCGUAGAACCUUACCUGGGUUUGACAUGGAUCGGGAGUGCUCAGAGAUGGGUGUGCCUCUUUUGGGGUCGGUUCACAGGUGGUGCAUGCCUGUCGUCAGCUCGUGUCGUGAGAUGUUGGGUUAAGUCCCGCAACGAGCGCAACCCUUGUUCACUGUUGCCAGCACGUUAUGGUGGGGACUCAGUGGAGACCGCCGGGGUCAACUCGGAGGAAGGUGGGGAUGACGUCAAGUCAUCAUGCCCCUUAUGUCCAGGGCUUCACGCAUGCUACAAUGGCUGGUACAGAGAGUGGCGAGCCUGUGAGGGUGAGCGAAUCUCGGAAAGCCGGUCUCAGUUCGGAUUGGGGUCUGCAACUCGACCUCAUGAAGUCGGAGUCGCUAGUAUCGCAGAUCAGCAACGCUGCGGUGAAUACGUUCCCGGGGCU
rnacentral:rRNA from 1 species